rnacentral:miRNA from 1 species
UAGAUAGGUGAGAGCAAACACACAGGGAAAACACAAUACUGUGUUGCCAUUUACCAACGUUGAAAGUGGUAGUAUUGUGUUUUCCCUGUGUGUUUGCUCUCACCUAUCUA